AUAAUUCAAAUCGUAAAAAUGUGAUCUUUACGAAAUUCGACCAAUAUCAAUUGCAGAUCUAGAUGCUAAACAUAAAAAACAAUGAAAAAAGGAAACAAUUUUUUUUAAUCAAUUUCUUAUAUCAAAUUGAUACCCAGAAUUAACUGGAGAACGAAUCUAAGAUAUAAGUAAAGAUUUGAAGAAAUGUAAGAUGGAGCAUUGGAGAUAAUGACAUAAAUCAAAGACAUGAACACAUGUGCUUAGUGUGUUAGAUGGAGAAUUGUAGAUAAUGACAUGAAAAUCAAUAGGAAUCAUGUGAGAGAGAGAGAGUACUAACUAUGAGAAGGUAGCGGAGGAUUCUUUUUCGAGCCAAUCGCGGAUGUGCUUGAUGUUACGCCUUAAGAUGGUGACAGAUUGCUUCACAUCGUUUUUGUAAUCCGAAACUUGAUUAAUGAAGCUAUCCCAGAGAGCAAAGAUUCAUUCUAAUUUUGCAGUAAAGAGAGAGAGAGAAAGAGCAAAAUCUGAAUCUCAGAUUUCAACAAAAUCCUAGAAAUUCAAUUAUAACAAAAUUGAGGAACGAACUGAUAAGUUAACUGAUGAUGGGAAGAGGGGGAGAGAGAGAUCAAAAUCAUGGUAAAAGUUUUUAUUUUCUUCGCUUGAUUGUGAGAGUAAGAGAGAGAAAAGAGAGGAGAAGGAGAGAGACAAAUAAAAUGAAACAAAAAAGAAAUAUAUUUAAAGGGUAAAUGAGUCAAAUAACCUAUCGAAAGUGUUUGAUCUUUUCAAAGUGUCUUAUUAGGAAUUAACUUUCCAAAAAGUGCCUAAUUACGUAAUAUUCUCAAUUUUGUUAACUGCCUAUUUCACAACUCUAAUUUUAGCCAAAUUCGAAAAUGCAACAAGAGAUAGCGAGAGAGAGGAAAACGAGAAUAUGUCCUAAUUG
rnacentral:sRNA from 1 species